rnacentral:rRNA from 9 species
GACGCGACCCGGUGGAUGCCUUGGCUCGGGGGACGAUGAAGGACGUGGCUGACGACGAUACUCGAUGUGGUCCAAGCACGUGACAUCGAUCUUCGAAUGGAUCAUCGGGGUGGUG